UGCAGCCUUCUGCAGCACAGAGAGUUGGGGACAGUGAGCGGCCCACGCACAGAAAUGCAGAGGCUCAUGCUGGCUGUCAGCUUGUGACCCAGGGCCAGAAGUGGUGGGAACAGAGGCACAGUCCUGCUGGGCAAAGAUUUGAAGAACCUAACCACUGGCUGUGCCCUGUUCCUCUGACUUACCCCAUCAGUACAGAUGGUGAGGCUGCUCAGCUUUUCAGCCUGGCACCCUCUCUACUCAGGAAUGUUCUGCUCCCAUCCAGAAAUGCAAAAAUGCAUUAUGCGUGUCAGCAGCUUAACCAAAGCCAAGGAAAUAUUUGAAGAUAUCUGAAAUAUGAAUUAUGUAAAAUAAACCUGGCACG